GUUGGGGGGAGGGGCUGAAGUUCUGACCCUCUAAUGUCUUGGUUGGUUGCCCUGGCAACCCCAACCCCCAUCUAGAGGCUAUCCAGGAGCCCCCAGCCACCAGUCGCUCAUUAGCAUACAAAAGACCUGGCACUUUAGAGAUUUUAAGGGUUUUUUUUGAGCUGUGUGCCAGAGAGUGGGGGCAAAGGUUUAUUUCUUAAUGUGUUUCAAUCCGAAUUGGGGUCCAACAGCAAAUGAGUUCCAGGGAUUCUUCUGCGCUGGGAAAGUGACACGGAGGGGUGACAGGAGGAAACUACGUGGUUAAAAAUACAAAGUCAUAAUUAUUAGCCACUGCUCUACCUGCCAGCGGCCCACAUGGAAGAAUUAGCAAGUGCAUGCAUGGUGCUGAGUGCUGUGCACACCCCUCAGAGCAAGGAGAUGAGAUGGUCAGGGAACUGUAUUUACCUCAGCACAGAAGACUGUUGCUGUAUAUGGCCCAGGAAGGUGGCCGUGCACGUGUCAAACUCCUCUUUUCUCUGAAAGGGAAUUUAAGGAACCAACCCUCCCACUGAAACUGGAGAAUUACCUCUAAAAGAAAGAGACAGAUAAAACUAGAAAGUGUGAUACAAUGUUACGGUAAGUUGGACAA